rnacentral:rRNA from 1 species
GACGUAGUAGGUACGGUAGGUACGGAGAGAGAAGACGAGGACGCUUCCUUCGGGAAGCGAGCGUACACAGGUGCUGCAUGGCUGUCGUCAGCUCGUGUCGUGAGAUGUUGGGUUAAGUCCCGCAACGAGCGCAACCCUUGCCUUUAGUUGCCAGCAGUUCGGCUGGGCACUCUAAAGGGACUGCCGGUGUUAAACCGGAGGAAGGUGGGGAUGACGUCAAGUCCUCAUGGCCUUUAUGACCAGGGCUACACACGUACUACAAUGGCCGAUACAAAGGGCAGCGACACUGCGAGGUGAAGCCAAUCCCGUAAAAUCGGUCUCAGUCCGGAUUGGAGUCUGCAACUCGACUCCAUGAAGUUGGAAUCGCUAGUAAUCGUGGAUCAGCAUGCCACGGUGAAUACGUUCCCGGGCCUU